GCUUUCGUGGUGUAGUGGUCAGCACACUGGGCGCAUAUUCCAGAGCUCCUGGUUCGAGUCCCGGCGAAGGCG
rnacentral:tRNA from 1 species